rnacentral:snoRNA from 2 species
GGGUUAUGACGAAUGGUGGUAUCUAGCAUUAUAUGUGCGAGUGGGGUGCCUGUCCCAGCCUGGUUACGACACAUAUGCACUCACCCUUUAACCAAUCUGAUCCC